CCCGGAAGGGGAGUGAAAUAGAACCUGAAACCGUGUGCUUACAAGUAGUCAGAGCCCGUUAAUGGGUGAUGGCGUGCCUUUUGUAGAAUGAACCGGCGAGUUACGAUUUGAUGCAAGGUUAAGCAGUAAAUGUGGAGCCGUAGCGAAAGCGAGUCUGAAUAGGGCGUUUAGUAUUUGGUCGUAGACCCGAAACCAGGUGAUCUACCCUUGGUCAGGUUGAAGUUCAGGUAACACUGAAUGGAGGACCGAACCGACUUACGUUGAAAAGUGAGCGGAUGAACUGAGGGUAGCGGAGAAAUUCCAAUCGAACCUGGAGAUAGCUGGUUCUCUCCGAAAUAGCUUUAGGGCUAGCCUCAAGUGAUGAUUAUUGGAGGUAGAGCACUGUUUGGACGAGGGGCCCCUCUCGGGUUACCGAAUUCAGACAAACUCCGAAUGCCAAUUAAUUUAACUUGGGAGUCAGAACAUGGGUGAUAAGGUCCGUGUUCGAAAGGGAAACAGCCCAGACCACCAGCUAAGGUCCCAAAAUAUAUGUUAAGUGGAAAAGGAUGUGGCGUUGCCCAGACAACUAGGAUGUUGGCUUAGAAGCAGCCAUCAUUUAAAGAGUGCGUAAUAGCUCACUAGUCGAGUGACACUGCGCCGAAAAUGUACCGGGGCUAAACAUAUUACCGAAGCUGUGGAUUGUCCUUUGGACAAUGGUAGGAGAGCGUUCUAAGGGCGUUGAAGCAUGAUCGUAAGGACAUGUGGAGCGCUUAGAAGUGAGAAUGCCGGUGUGAGUAGCGAAAGACGGGUGAGAAUCCCGUCCACCGAUUGACUAAGGUUUCCAGAGGAAGGCUCGUCCGCUCUGGGUUAGUCGGGUCCUAAGCUGAGGCCGACAGGCGUAGGCGAUGGAUAACAGGUUGAUAUUCCUGUACCACCUAUAAUCGUUUUAAUCGAUGGGGGGACGCAGUAGGAUAGGCGAAGCGUGCGAUUGGAUUGCACGUCUAAGCAGUAAGGCUGAGUAUUAGGCAAAUCCGGUACUCGUUAAGGCUGAGC
rnacentral:rRNA from 1 species